CAUCAUUUAAAGUACUGAAGGGAUCUUUUUGUUUGAACUCAGAUAAUGUAAGCCUUCUCAUUAAGAAGCUGCUUCCUCAUUGGUUUAUGACAAAAUCUGAGUGCAAUUUCCUGUCCCCACAACACUACUGGUUUCUCUUCUUGAUACAAGCAGAUUUGCCAGCCUCCUCAGUCAAGAGCAGCAUCACUCCCGAAAUGGAAACAGGACACUUUUAGAAGGAUGCCAAAGUGUAUGAAAAUAAAAUCCACGCCCUCAUAUUUGCACCAAUCUCCAAUCUCCUGUAAGAUUCAAAAGGACAAAUUGAGAGGGUGUGAGUGACCUUUCGAGAAAACUAAGCAGCCCAUGAUAUUGAGCACAAAGACUUCUGAUGGUUAAAUUCAGCUCACUGCUCUAAGUCACCCCCCUCAGGAGCCUGGAUUCUGAGUUCUGGUGGUGAGAGUCUAUGUGAAAAAAAAUUUGAUCUGUA
rnacentral:lncRNA from 1 species